rnacentral:rRNA from 1 species
CAAUAGCGUAUAUUAAAGUUGUUGCAGUUAAAAAGCUCGUAGUUGGAUUUCUGGUCGGAAGCUCCUGUCCUCUGAUGAGCGUACAAGUGCGUCCUACCAUCCUUCUGUUAACCUUUAAGGCUUUCGCGGCUUUCUAGGGGCUCAGAUAUUUUACCUUGAGAAAAUUAGAGUGUUUCAGGCAGGCUAGCGCCGGAAUACGUUAGCAUGGAAUAAUGGAAUAGGACUUUUGCCUCUUCUGUUGGUCAUGAGGCUCGAGUAAUGAUUAAUAGGGAUAGUUGGGGGCAUUAGUACUUAACUGUCAGAGGUGAAAUUCUCGGAUUUGUUAAAGACUAACUUAUGCGAAAGCAUUUGCCAAGGAUGUUUUCAUUAA